rnacentral:pre_miRNA from 13 species
GGCUGUGAGUUGGCUUAAUCUCAGCUGGCAACUGUGAGAUGUUCAUACAAUCCCUCACAGUGGUCUCUGGGAUUAUGCUAAACAGAGCA